ensembl:lncRNA
UAGGGGUCCAAGCCAACAGGUUGGAUCCCUAUUGUUUUUGUAAGGAUUUUUAUUAGGGGUCCAAGCCAACAGGUUGGAUCCCUAUUGUUUUUGUAAGGAUUUUUAGGGGUCCAAGCCAACAGGUUGGAUCCCUAUUGUUUUUGUAAGGAUUUUUAUACUACCUCCCCGUGAAAGUGGAACCACAGCCCAAACCGUAAAUGGCGCACACGCGCCAAUUGCAUGACUAGAUCCAGAAUCGGCACCGCUACUCAGAUAACAAAAUCCAGACACGCCGGUCACUAGGUGGCGCUAUACCAAGGAAUACGCGUUUGGGGCUAUAACUCCCACACCGAACCUCCCAGAGUCCAAAAACUUGUACACACAGAUGCACUGGAGUCUGCUGCAUCUUUUGGCCUAGGCCACGCCCAUUUGCGUCUAUGAAGUUUUUUCCCUACUCCUCCCACAUUUCUUGACCAAUCGACACCAAACUUUGCACACGACAUCUUCAGACGCACACGCAAAGAAUGCACGAAACACUUUUUUGAUGCGACCUUUGACGUCGAAACUGUAGCGUUUUGAAUAUUGGUUUAUUAGCUAAAUUAGACGUGGAAUA